AUUAUCUUACAUAAUUCUUAUAAUAAUCUUAUGAGGUGGAAUGUCUAUUAUUAUCCCCAUUUUACAGAUGAGCCUGCUGGGCUCAGGGAAAUUAAAUAAUUUGUCCAAGGGCACACAGUAAAUAGUGGAAUUGGCUUUGAGUUCAGUUUUAUUUAACUUGAAAGCCCUGGUUCUUAACCACUAUCACCUGCUUUUUCUGUUCACCACUCUAUUUGUCUCACUAAAGAUUUUUUUUCUGCUCUGAGUGGAGUCAACUCAUUAAUUUCUUAUGUUAUCUCAUCUUUCCUUUUUAGUGUUUUGCUUGAUAUACUAUUUAUUUGUAUGUCUUCCUGCCCAGAACAUGAACUUUGAUUUAUCCACAUGCUUUUCCACAUCCUAAACAUUACUUGCACACAGUAGGCAACCAUUUCAUAUUUGUUAAAUGGAUAAAUAUGUUUUGGUCAUGUUGGCUACUGCAUUUGGUGAUUGAAGUAAAAGACCAUCAAUAUGAAAACCAGAUAAUUCUGACUAGAAAAAAAAUGCUAUUGAGGUUUUCUCAAGGCAUAAACUAACUAAAUAAAUGAGCCUAAUUUAUUACAGCAGGUUAAUAAAUGGUACAAUAGAAUGCAUGGUUAUUUUCCGUUGAUUCCCAAGAUAUAAUUUGUUACAAAGUAGGCUGCAUCAGUUUUUUUCAAUGAAUAUUUAUUUGAUGUUGUGUUUUUGUUUUGCUUUGUUUUGACUUUUGAGUUGGAGCACUGUGUAUUAAGCAUAUGGAGGGAAGACAUACGUGUGUAUACACACACAGGAGUAGGCCCUGCUCUCUGAAAACUUACCAUAUUGUCAUGGAGACCUGGAAGAUAACUAAGGAAGAAGUAACAAAGCCAUUUAUUAGGCAAGAACUUGGCAAAGUGAUACAAACAGGAAUAAGAUGAUCAAUUAUUGCAACUCAAGUGUAGUGAGUGCUGAAAAGGAGACAUGGUAGGGAGUUCUAGACAGUUGGGGAGCCCAAUGUAAGAAAAGCUUCCAAGGGGGGAAGUGAUGGUUUAAAUAACUCUUGAAGAACAAGAUCAGAUCUAAGCAAAUGGGUAGGAGAAGCGUUCAGGUAGAAGUAUGAGAGGGUUUGGUGCAACAGGAAACUGCAAGUCGAUGGCUGUAACUGGAACUGAAUGAGUGUAUGAAUAGGCAGGAUAUUCGGUUUUUAAAUUGCUAUUGUGACAAAUUAAUAGAGUUUAGUGGCUUGAAACAACAAAAGUUUAUUAUCUUACAUUUCCAGAGAUCAGAGGUUCAAAGUCAUUCUCACUGGGCUAAAAUGAAGUUAUGGGCAGGGCUGCCUUCCUUCUGGAGUCUCUAGGAAUAAGUGAGUUUCCUUGCUCUUUCCAGCUUCCAGAGGCUGGCAGCAUUCCUUGGCUCUGGACUUUGAUCUCUGCUUCCAUCCUCACAUCUCCUUCUCUGACUCUGAUUCUUCUGCCUACCUUUUAUAAGGACCCUUGUAAUUACAACUGGGCUCACCCGAAUAAUUGAGGAUAAGUUUCCCAUCUCAAGAUGCUUCAUUUAGUCAUACUUGCAAAGUCCCUUUUGCCAUGUAAGUUAACAGUUUCACAGGCUCCGCGGAUUAGGACGUAGACAUUUGCAAAGGGGGAAGGUAGAAUUAUUCUUUCCAACACAGACAGUAGCAAAAGCAUUUGUGACUCUUAAUUGUCAGAACUUUGCCUCUCUAGCACUAAUUCUCUUUAUUUAAGAUGGAUAAAUCCAUGUUUGUUUAUAUAUAAAAUAGUUUGCUUCUCUUUUUGUCUCCUGUCAUCUAACACUAUAUAUAUUUUUUCUGUAUACUUUAAUUCACUCUAUCUCUUGCUCAUUUUAGUUGCCCAGGCUGGAGGGCAAUGGUGCGAUCUCAGCUCACAGCAACCUCUGACUCCCGGGUUCAAGCGAUUCUUUUGCCUCAGUCUCCCAAGUAGCCAGGAUUACAGGUGUGUGCCACCACGGCUAACUAAUGUUUUGAAUUUUUAGUCGAGACAGGGUUUCCCUAUGUUGGCCAGGCUGGUCUCUAACUCUUGGCCUCAGGCGAUCCACCCGCCUCGGCCUCCCAAAGUGGUAGGAUUAUGGACGUGAGCCACCACGCCCGGCCAAGACUAUUUUCUUAAGUAAGGUAAAUUGGGUGGUUGUAGGAAGAAAACAUGGCCUGUGGGUCCUAGAAAAUCAGGAACCUGGAACUGACAGUCUGCUGUGACUCCCACCCCUCCCUCUGCGGAGGUGGCAUGGAUUCAGAGAGGACCAACCUGUGGAGAAUGGGAUCAUAGGAAACCCUGAAAAAUUACUGGGUUCCUUCUGUAAUCUAGAAGCAGGAGACACUUGAGGACCAGAAGGUGCCAUGCAGACAGAAUAAUGAGCUUCUUGGUAACCUGUAGUAACCUGUGUCCACUGAUGACCAAUAGUCUAUGGCUUGAAGAUCAUCCACAAUCUCCUGCCUUGCCCUUCACUGGCACUGUAUGACAUUCUAGGACUGUGAACCAACCCUGGGGAGGAUUGAAGAAACCAAGAAUAACUGAAAUGAAAUUUUCUGCCACCAUGGAAGAAUGGAGGUCCAGCUUCAGAAAUUUAGCCAUUCUGGAAAGAAAAAAAAAAGAAAGAAAUGAAGAAAAG
rnacentral:lncRNA from 10 species